rnacentral:rRNA from 1 species
CCAGACUCCUACGGGAGGCAGCAGUGGGGAAUAUUGCACAAUGGGGGGAACCCUGAUGCAGCGACGCCGCGUGGGUGAAGGAGUAUUUCGGUAUGUAAAGCCCUAUCAGCAGGGAAGAACAAUGACGGUACCUGACUAAGAAGCACCGGCUAAAUACGUGCCAGCAGCCGCGGUAAUACGUAUGGUGCAAGCGUUAUCCGGAUUUACUGGGUGUAAAGGGGGCGCAGACGGCGAUGCAAGCCAGGAGUGAAAGCCCGGGGCCCAACCCCGGGACUGCUCUUGGAACUGCGUGGCUGGAGUGCAGGAGGGGCAGGCGGAAUUCCUGGUGUAGCGGUGAAAUGCGUAGAUAUUAGGAAGAACACCAGUGGCGAAGGCGGCUUUCUGGACUGAAACUGACGCUGAGGCACGAAAGCGUGGGGAGCGAACAGGAUUAGAUACCCUGGUAC